GGUCAGAUGGCCGAGUUGGUUAUGGCGCCAGGUUAAGGUUUAUCUUAACAUCAUUUCCUGGUCACGAAAGUGGCGUGGGUUCGAGUCCCACUCUGAUCA